AUUGAACGCUGGCGGCAGGCCUAACACAUGCCAGUCGAGCGGAUGAAGGGAGCUUGCUCCUGGAUUCAGCGGCGGACGGGUGAGUAAUGCCUAGGAAUCUGCCUGGUAGUGGGGGAUAACGUCCGGAAACGGGCGCUAAUACCGCAUACGUCCUGAGGGAGAAAGUGGGGGAUCUUCGGACCUCACGCUAUCAGAUGAGCCUAGGUCGGAUUAGCUAGUUGGUGGGGUAAAGGCCUACCAAGACGACGAUCCGUAACUGGUCUGAGAGGAUGAUCAGUCACACUGGAACUGAGACACGGUCCAGACUCCUACGGGAGGCAGCAGUGGGGAAUAUUGGACAAUGGGCGAAAGCCUGAUCCAGCCAUGCCGCGUGUGUGAAGAAGGUCUUCGGAUUGUAAAGCACUUUAAGUUGGGAGGAAGGGCAGUAAGUUAAUACCUUGCUGUUUUGACGUUACCAACAGAAUAAGCACCGGCUAACUUCGUG
rnacentral:rRNA from 1 species